UACGUAGGGUGCGAGCGUUAAUCGGAAUUACUGGGCGUAAAGCGUGCGCAGGCGGCUUUGCAAGACAGAUGUGAAAUCCCCGGGCUCAACCUGGGAACUGCAUUUGUGACUGCAAGGCUAGAGUACGGCAGAGGGGGAUGGAAUUCCGCGUGUAGCAGUGAAAUGCGUAGAUAUACGGAGGAACACCAAUGGCGAAGGCAAUCCCCUGGGCCUGUACUGACGCUCAUGCACGAAAGCGUGGGGAGCAAACAGG
rnacentral:rRNA from 1 species